CAGAUGUGUUCCUGGUGUGGAGAAAGUGCCAGGGUGGCUCAGCGAAGAAAAAAGAAUUCUUGUGGUGCUAUCAAGCAAGGCUUCAUUUGAGGGAAAAGUAGGAUUUCUGUAGGUGGAAAACGAGAAGACAUUGAUUUGAAACUCCCUGGUUGUUUUAUAAACUUCAUAUUAACUAUGUCCACAGAGCCUCCAAAAGGAUAGAAUUCAAAAGGGAUUUUAACCAAAAUGAAAUAUGUUGUGACUAAUAGAUACAGUUUAUUUGAAUGAAUGAUAGUUUUUCCCAUUUGAUAUUUUAACUGUGCUACACAAGAAUGAGAGUAGACGUAGCUCGAUUUGUAGUCUCAUUGUUCUGUCUUUUCUGCCCAUUUCAGUGACCCAGGACUCUUUGUUUAUUGCUGUGAUUUUUCUUCCACAGCUAUAGAACUGGUCCAGACAAAUUCAGAAUAUGAUCCUUCUCGGUGUUUUGCCUUUGUUCACGACCUGUGUGAUGAAGAGAAGAGUUACCCAGUGCCCAAGGGCAGUCUUGAUAUUAUCAUUCUCAUAUUUGUUCUUUCAGCAAUUGUUCCAGACAA
rnacentral:sRNA from 1 species